rnacentral:tRNA from 1 species
GGUCCCGUCGUCUAGUGGUCUAGGACGUCUGGUUCUCAUCCAGAAAAUCGAGGGUUCGACUCCCUCCGGGAUCACCA